ACAGCAGCAGCCACGGUAAUACGAAGGGUGCAAGCGUUACUCGGAAUUACUGGGCGUAAAGCGUGCGUAGGUGGUUGUUUAAGUCUGUUGUGAAAGCCCUGGGCUCAACCUGGGAAUUGCAGUGGAUACUGGGCAACUAGAGUGUGGUAGAGGGUAGUGGAAUUCCCGGUGUAGCAGUGAAAUGCGUAGAGAUCGGGAGGAACAUCCAUGGCGAAGGCAGCUACCUGGACCAACACUGACACUGAGGCACGAAAGCGUGGGGAGCAAACAGGAUUAGAUACCCGCGUAGUCCCUGUCUCUUAUAC
rnacentral:rRNA from 1 species